CCUACGGGUGGCAGCAGUGGGGAAUAUUGGACAAUGGGCGAAAGCCUGAUCCAGCCAUGCCGCGUGUGUGAAGAAGGCCUUCGGGUUGUAAAGCACUUUCAGUGGGGAAGAAAGCCUUGGGGCUAAUACCCUCGAGGAAGGACAUCACCCACAGAAGAAGCACCGGCUAACUCCGUGCCAGCAGCCGCGGUAAUACGGAGGGUGCGAGCGUUAAUCGGAAUUACUGGGCGUAAAGCGCGCGUAGGCGGUCUGAUAAGCCGGUUGUGAAAGCCCCGGGCUCAACCUGGGAACGGCAUCCGGAACUGUCAGGCUAGAGUGCAGGAGAGGAAGGUAGAAUUCCCGGUGUAGCAGUGAAAUGCGUAGAGAUCGGGAGGAAUACCAGUGGCGAAGGCGGCCUUCUGGACUGACACUGACGCUGAGGUGCGAAAGCGUGGGUAGCAAACAGGAUUAGAUACCCCGGUAGUC
rnacentral:rRNA from 1 species